GACGAACGCUGGCGGCGUGCCUAACACAUGCAAGUCGAACGGGACUGGGGGCAACCCCGGUUCAGUGGCGAACGGGUGCGUAACACGUGAGGAAGUUGUCCAUCGGUGGGGGAUAGCCGGCCCAACGGCCGGGUAAUACCGCGUACGACCUUUUGGCGGCAUCGUCGAAAGGUGAAAGCAGCAAUGCGCCGAUGGAGGCCCUCGCGGCCUAUCAGCUAGUUGGUGAGGUCACGGCUCACCAAGGCGACGACGGGUAGCUGGUCUGAGAGGAUGGCCAGCCACAUUGGGACUGAGACACGGCCCAGACUCCUACGGGAGGCAGCAGUGGGGAAUCUUGCGCAAUGGGCGAAAGCCUGACGCAGCGACGCCGCGUGUGGGAUGACGGCCUUCGGGUUGUAAACCACUGUCGGGAGGGACGAAGCUCUGACGGUACCUCCAAAGGAAGCACCGGCUAACUCUGUGCCAGCCGCCGCGGUAA
rnacentral:rRNA from 1 species